rnacentral:rRNA from 1 species
UACGUAGGGAGCAAGCGUUGUCCGGAAUCAUUGGGCGUAAAGCGCGCGUAGGUGGCCCCGUAAGUCCGCUGUGAAAGUCAAAGGCUCAACCUUUGAAAGCCGGUGGAUACUGUGGGGCUAGAGUACGGAAGAGGCGAGUGGAAUUCCUGGUGUAGCGGUGGAAUGCGCAGAUAUCAGGAGGAACACCAAUGGCGAAAGCAGCUUUCUGGGACGGUACUGACGCUGAGACGCGAAAGCGUGGGGAGCGAACAGG